UACGUAGGGGGCUAGCGUUGUCCGGAAUCAUUGGGCGUAAAGAGCGCGUAGGCGGCCCGGUAAGUCCGCUGUGAAAGUCAAAGGCUCAACCUUUGAAUGUCAGCGGAUACUGCCGGGCUAGAGUCCGGAAGAGGCGAGUGGAACUCCUGGUGUAGCGGUGGAAUGCGCAGAUAUCAGGAAGAACACCAACGGCGAAGGCAGCUCGCUGGGACGGAACUGACGCUGAGGCGCGAAAGCAUGGGGAGCGAACAGG
rnacentral:rRNA from 1 species